rnacentral:rRNA from 1 species
UACAGAGGGGGCUAGCGUUGUUCGGAAUCACUGGGUGUAAAGGGUGCGUAGGCUGUCCGUUAAGUCUGAUGUGAAAGCCCUGGGCUCAACUCAGGAAUUGCACUGGAAACUGGCGGACUCAGAGUACCGGAGAGGGAAGCGGAAUUCCUGGUGUAGCGGUGAAAUGCGUAGACACCAGGAGGAACACCGGUGGCGAAAGCGGUUUCCUGGCCGAGUACUGACGCUGAGGCACGAAAGCGUGGGGAGCGAACGGG